GCGAAAGCAGGUCAUAGUGAUCCGGUGGUUCUGAAUGGAAGGGCCAUCGCUCAACGGAUAAAAGGUACUCCGGGGAUAACAGGCUGAUACCGCCCAAGAGUUCAUAUCGACGGCGGUGUUUGGCACCUCGAUGUCGGCUCAUCACAUCCUGGGGCUGAAGUAGGUCCCAAGGGUAUGGCUGUUCGCCAUUUAAAGUGGUACGCGAGCUGGGUUUAGAACGUCGUGAGACAGUUCGGUCCCUAUCUGCCGUGGGCGCUGGAGAACUGAGGGGGGCUGCUCCUAGUACGAGAGGACCGGAGUGGACGCAUCACUGGUGUUCGGGUUGUCAUGCCAAUGGCACUGCCCGGUAGCUAAAUGCGGAAGAGAUAAGUGCUGAAAGCAUCUAAGCACGAAACUUGCCCCGAGAUGAGUUCUCCCUGACUCCUUGAGAGUCCUGAAGGAACGUUGAAGACGACGACGUUGAUAGGCCGGAUGUGUAAGCGCAGCGAUGCGUUGAGCUAACCGGUACUAAUGAACCGUGAGGCUUAACCUUACAACGCCGAAGCUGUU
rnacentral:rRNA from 1 species